rnacentral:rRNA from 1 species
GGAAUCUUCCACAAUGGACGCAAGUCUGAUGGAGCAACGCCGCGUGAGUGAAGAAGGUCUUCGGAUCGUAAAACUCUGUUGUUAGAGAAGAACACGAGUGAGAGUAACUGUUCAUUCGAUGACGGUAUCUAACCAGCAAGUCACGGCUAACUACGUGCCGA